CAGGUGCCCACCACCACACCGAGAGAAUUCAGCCUCAGCCCCCAGAUGAAGAUGGGGAUCACAGUGACAAAGAAGAUGAACAGCCUCAAGUGGUGGUUUUAAAAAAGGGAGACCUGUCAGUUGAAGAAGUCAUGAAAAUUAAAGCAGAAAUAAAGGCUGCCAAAGCAGAUGAAGAACCAACUCCAGCCGAUGGAAGAAUCAUAUAUCGAAAACCAGUCAAGCAUCCCUCAGAUGAAAAAUAUUCAGGUUUAACAGCAAGCUCAAAAAAGAAGAAGCCAAAUGAAGAUGAAGUAAAUCAGGACUCGGUCAAAAAGAACUCACAAAAACAAAUUAAAAAUAGUAGCCUCCUUUCUUUUGACAACGAAGAUGAAAAUGAGUAAGUGUAAAUAUUUUGAAUUUAGUCUACUUUGAAAGUAUAUGGAGUGUUCAUUAAAAUCACAUUUUUUCCUAUUAUAAAGAUACUACAAGUUCUUUAUAGAAAGUUUAGGAAAUAGAGAAAAAAAUUUAAUAAACUACAUCUAUUCAUCAAUACCCCUCUGACUUAAAAUGCCAACUCUAUAGAAAUUAGCUAGUAUUAACAUUUUGUUAUUUCCCUUGUGUGGUUGUAUAUAUAUGUAAAUUAUAUUUUUAAGCAAAAUACAUUUUUUGUGUGUAAACAAAAUUUUAUAAAUACAACUGUAUUGCAAAUGUUCUUUGUCCUGCUUCUCACUUGACAUUGCAUUACGAGUAUUCUUCCAGGUCAGUAAAUUUCAAAAACCUGACAUUAAUAGCUACAGAUAAUUUCAUAAACAUCUCAUUGUAUCUUUUUCAUUAGCAAUAGCUCCACUUUGGGUGGGGGAGAUGAUAAUGUGCCUUGUUAAAAAUACCUCCCCAACUCCUGCUAAGGGUGGCCAUGAGACUCAGCUCUGGCAAGUUAAGAAAUACAGGUGGAAUUCUGCUUGAUAAAGCUGCUGGGUUUUUUGUUACAAAAGGACAGACUUGGCAAACAUGAGCCUUUGCUCUUAUCUUUUCAUCCUACUUGGAGUGCAGAGAUAAAACCUGAGUACCAGAGCCACUUUUAGGCAUAAGGAAGGCAGCCAUGUGCUUUGGGUCAUGUUAGUAAAAAGACUCAGAGCUUGGCUCCUUGCUGACAUGCCUGGAGGAGCUGCUACACCAGCUUGGAUUGCUGACCUCUGACUUCUUGGUAGUGAGAAGAAUAAACACUGUGCUUAAUUAGGCCUUGGUCAGGUUUCUUUUAUAUGCAGCCAAAUGCAGUCCUAAGUAAUACAAUAAAUAACUGGUCAAACUGUUACUGGUGGAGGGUGUCCAGGUUCUUGGCAUUUUGGACAAAUAAUUGAACAAAACGCACAAAGCAAUGAAUAUCCUCUAGAGGUUUGCCAUUGGUUACUUGGCGUACACCCUGUGUAAAUGAAGUAGUGGCCCGUGACCUGUCUGAUUGGUGCAGAAAGUGACCAAUCAGAGGCUGAAGUGAAGUUACAAAGUUAUACUCCUGUGUAAAUGAGGACUUGGCCUAUGACCAGUCUGAUUGGUUGCAGGAGGGGACCAAUCAGAGGCACUUUCAUUUUUCAUCUGCAAUGCAGAAAAGGCAAGGGGAUUGCAAAGGGAGUAGCCUCUGAUCCUUUUGUUACUUAGGUAUGGAGAGGUGGGGUUUUCCUUUUGAUUCAGUUCUAGGAAGUCAAUGUGAAUCAGCCUUAGGUUCCCUGUCUCCAGACCCUAUUCUCCUGCCUCAUUUUCCCCCUGAGAGACGUGAUCCUCGUAAAUCUUUAUGGGAGGCUGAGAGACUGAGGGUCUUUCUUCUGUAACUGCUUCAUGCUAACUUGGGACACAGUCCCUACCUAUUGGAGAUCACGUAACUCUCACCCUGCUUUGUCUAGGGGAGACAGGGUAGCUUCUUGAUGGCCGGUGGUGUCUUCUCCUGAAACUGGCUAGAAAUCUUGUCACAUGAUCAUCUAACUUGGUGGUCUCUAGGCAAAAGGAAAUGGAUUUGGUUAAAAGAUUUAACAGAUAUGGUCCAAAAACCAAGGCAAAUAUAAUCAUUAAUAAUGGGCUGGCCAAGGGAGGGAGCCAUGAAACCCAACUUAGUGCCCUUUAGGUGCCCCAGCUGUUGUCAUAUUUUAGAGGCCCAGUCAGCUAGUUUUCAGGUGGUGUCCCUUACUAAUCCUGAUUGGUUGACAUCAAAACAGCAUUCUUCUUCUAGGAAAAUACAUAAGCCACCUGUUUCAGCAGUUAGGAGAUCUAGUCCCCUUCGAUUUUGCAAAGCGACCACUGCCAAGGAGCCUAUCCGAAUUUGUAAGGUGACAAUACUUUGAGCAAUGUUAUCCAGGCUUUCCAUAAAAUCCUUGGACAAGCGUUGGUAAUAGGAUAGGGAAGUUGCAAUCCCGCUAACUCCCAUUCCUACCUCUGCUGUUAUUCCUAGCCGUUGUGUCUGGUGGUUGCAGUUAAAGGUAUAAUGAGGGAUUGGUUGUUGGGAGCUAUAUUAAUUUAGGGACAUACAAUAUUUCUGUCUCCAGUCUACCACUUCCACCAAAGACAAAUCACAGCAGAACCGACCUAACUUCAAAAUAAACUGCAGUCCCAUAUACUGGGCCUGAUUACCCACACAAAGUGCAACAAGAAUCAUUGUCCAUAUAGACUCUCCUAGAUUGGCUUUGCUAGAACAUUUCACAAGGCCAUUUCAGUCAAAGUCCUGAGAAAGUAACCGGUUUCAAUUGUGCCCUAUUACAAAAGAAAACGUGGUUAUUAACUUUAUACAGACAAAUGCCAUGAAUUAAGAAUAUUCAUAAAUAGUUUACAAAUUCUGGAGAAAUUAGAAUACUCAAUACACUUAAAGUGUAUUUCAAGGCUAUAAAUAGCUCAAAAUAAAAAGAUUAUUCAGACUCUGAAAAAACAAAAAGAAGUAGCAAUAUUUCAAACAACAAAAGCCAUACAAAUUAUUUCAGUCUUCCAUUAGUUCAUUUCAGUCCAUGUAAUCAACUCCUGCUCUACUUCAUAUUCAUCUUUAUGAACACAUCAGCCUUUCAAUUAGUGCCUUGGAAGUUUUCUGUCUAAUCCAAUGGCACACUCUCCAAAGUUACCAGAAACCUGCAUUCAAGAGUUCUUUUCAUGAACUCCAAAGAAGUAAGCCUUGGACUGUAGCUGAUUAUAAGUCACUUUUUUUUUUUGAGAAGGAUCAGAGCAAAACAUCAAUUAUGGAUGACAAAAGUCUUAAGACAGCCAUAAAGACACAGUUGACAAAUGUGGCUAUUUCUGUGGCUUACAACAAUUUAACAUAAUCAUUACAACAUAUAUUAAGACAUAUCAGAAUUUUAGAACUCUCAUACAAUCCUGGAACACAUAUUAACAACAAAUCUCUAUCAGUAUAACCCAAAGGAAGCUAAACACCACCUCACACUUGACAAUGUUUCCUGUAUAAUUCAAACAUUACAAAUAAGCCUAAUAUAAGCCUAAUAUGUCACUCUUGAACUUCAGGAAGCCUAAUAUCCAAAAAGUUAGUUUAAGGUCAAAAGUUUUUGAAUUAACUUUUUUCCAUUAGUAUGGUCAUAUCUUUCUUACUAAUUUGUAAGUUAUGUAAUUUAUCAAUUUUUUUUUGUUGUUCUGUUUCCCAACCUCUAUGUCAGAUAAAGAAUCACCCAGGCCAGACACAAUGGCUCAUGCUUGUAAUCCCAACACUUUGGGAAGCCAAGGUGGGAGAAUUGCUUGAAGCCAGGAAUCUGAGCCCAGCCUGGGCGACAAAGCAAUACCCCUAUCUCUACAAAAAAUAAAAAAUAGCCAGGUGUAGCGACACACACCUGUAGUCCCAGCUGCUCAGGAGGCUAAGCAGGAGGAUGGCUUGGGCCCAGGAGUUCAACGCUGCAGUGAGCUAUGAUUGCACCACUGCACUCCAGCCUGGGCAACAGAGUAAGAACUGUCUCAAAAAAAAUAAAAAAUAGAAAUAAAUUUUAAAAAAAGAAUUACCCAUAUUCUCUUUGUUUUUGUUUAUUCACAUUAACCUUUAUUCUAUCUGGAAUUUAUUAGAGUAUACUUUUUUCUCAAAUAAUCAAUUGUCCUAGAACCAUGUGUUUCUCAUUUAUUUGAAAGGCCAUCUAGUGAGAGAUUUCUCCAAAUGUUGGGGUAGGGAAGGGAGGGGAAGCACUUUAAAGUCUGAGCCUUUAGAGGUGAUUCCUCAAGACCCUGCUUAAUCCUAACAAUUUUCCUCAUUAGUAAAAGUCAGCCCAAACUGGGGGCUUGUUAAGAUCCUUACCAGCCACAUCCAUCUGAAAUUAUGAAUUUCAAAGUAUCUUACAAAUUUGGUGCCACAUUAUCUUUUUUAAGUUUGUUUUGUUUUGUUUUUUUGAGACAGAGUCUCGCUCUGUCACCCAGGCUGGAGUGCAGUGGCGCGAUCUCAGCUCACUGCAAGCUCCGCCUCCUGGGUUCACACCAUUCUCUUGCCUCAGCCUCCCAAGUAUCUGGGACUACAGUCGCCCGCCACCACGCCCGGCUAAUUUUUUUGUAUUUUUAAUAGAGACGGGGUUUCACUUUGUUAGCCAGGAUGGUCUCAAUCUCCUGACCUCAUGAUCCACCUGCCUCGGCCUCCCAAAGUGCUGGGAUUACAGGCAGGAGCCACCGCGCCUGGGCCUUUUUUUAAGUUUUAAGUACCUAUAAAGAACACUGAAAGGUGAUGUGUGUGGAUGAGCUAGGAAGACCUGAAAUAGGCUCUCUCUAAAUUAAUCAAAUUAAUCCUGAAGCCAUUCUGCAAUACUGUCUUUAAUGUAUACUCACUUGUUAUAGAAGCCAGGGUUUUUUCCCCUAAUUUGUAUCAUUGCUAUAUGUGUUAUUGUACCAAACUACACUGUUUUAAUUGCUGUAAAUUUUAAUAUGUCUUAGUAUCUGGGUGUGGGAAUCUUGAAAGCAUGGAGUUUGUGUUAUUCACCACUGUAUUCUCAAAUAUCAGAAGAGUAUCUGGCCUACUAAGUGCACAAUAAACAUAGUUAAAAUGAA
rnacentral:lncRNA from 1 species